rnacentral:snRNA from 1 species
AUACCUACCUGGCAGGGGAGAUACCAUGAUCACAAAGGUGGUUUUCCCAGGGCGAGGCUUAUCCAUUGCACUCCGGAUGUGCUGACCCCUGCGAUUUCCCCAAAUGUGGGAACCUACACUGCUGGU